rnacentral:rRNA from 1 species
CAGUAGCCACGGGAAUACGGAGGGUGCAAGCGUUAAUCGGAAUUACUGGGCGUAAAGCGCACGCAGGCGGUCUGUCAAGUCGGAUGUGAAAUACCCGGGCUCAACCUGGGAACUGCAUUCGAAACUGGCAGGCUAGAGUCUUGUAGAGGGGGGUAGAAUUCCAGGUGUAGCGGUGAAAUGCGUAGAGAUCUGGAGGAAUACCGGUGGCGAAGGCGGCCCCCUGGACAAAGACUGACGCUCAGGUGCGAAAGCGUGGGGAGCAAACAGGAUUAGAUACCCGUGUAGUCCCUGUCUCUUAUAC